rnacentral:lncRNA from 1 species
UUUUUUUUAAAUCACCACAAAUUUUAGAGUUCGUUUUUUUACAUGUCUUUUUAAUCUAACAGCUUUAAAUCAAAAUAGACAACCUUAGGAUAUAAUCGUGACCUUUGAUGUAUAAUUGAGAAGGUUAAGCACUUUAGAUGUUUUUCUGGUACACAUAUUUCGUAUAUACUUCAAAAAGAGCACAUAGUUUACUAGAGUAAUAUACUUCCAAAUAUCAUUCUUAUUACAACUACAUGGAAAAGUUGUGCAAACUUCUCGUUUUAUCUGUAUUCUAAACAUUUAUCGAAAUUUCACAUUUAACCGAAUUUGUUG